rnacentral:rRNA from 1 species
GACGAACGCUGGCGGCGUGCUUAACACAUGCAAGUCGAACGGAAAGGCCCUGCUUUUGUGGGGUGCUCGAGUGGCGAACGGGUGAGUAACACGUGAGUGACCUGCCCUUGACUUUGGGAUAACUUCAGGAAACUGGGGCUAAUACCGGAUAGGAGCUCCUGUUGCAUGGUGGGGGUUGGAAAGUUUCGGCGGUUGGGGAUGGACUCGCGGCUUAUCAGCUUGUUGGUGGGGUAGUGGCUUACCAAGGCUUUGACGGGUAGUCGGCCUGAGAGGGUGACCGGCCACAUUGGGACUGAGAUACGGCCCAGACUCCUACGGGAGGCAGCAGUGGGGAAUAUUGCACAAUGGGCGGAAGCCUGAUGCAGCAACGCCGCGUGCGGGAUGACGGCCUUCGGGUUGUAAACCGCUUUCGCCUGUGACGAAGCGUGAGUGACGGUAAUGGGUAAAGAAGCACCGGCUAACUACGUG